CUCAAAAUGGGUGGUAAAUUUCAUCUAAAGCUAAAUACUGGCCGGAGACCGAUAGCGCACAAGUAGAGUGAUCGAAAGAUGAAAAGCACUUUGGAAAGAGAGUCAAAAAGUACGUGAAAUUGUUGAAAGGGAAGCGCUUGCAACCAGACCUGUCCGUAGGUGAUCAGUCGCCGUUCUCGGUGGUGCACUCGCCUGCGAUCAGGCCAGCAUCGGUUCGGGCGGUCGGAUAAAGGCCUUGGGAAUGUAGCUCCUCUCGAGGAGUCUUAUAGCCCUCGGUGUAAUGCGGCCAGCCCGGACCGAGGACCGCGCUUCGGCUAGGAUGCUGGCGUAAUGGUUGUAAGCGACCCGUCUUGAAACACGGACCAAGGAGUCUAACAUCUAUGCGAGUGUUUGGGUGUCAAACCCAUGCGCGGAAUGAAAGUGAACGGAGGUGAGAACCCUUUAGGGCGCAUCAUCGACCGAUCCAGAAGUCUUCGGAUGGAUUUGAGUAUGAGCAUAGCUGUUGGGACCCGAAAGAUGGUGAACUAUGCCUGAAUAGGGUGAAGCCAGAGGAAACUCUGGUGGAGGCUCGCAGCGGU
rnacentral:rRNA from 1 species